CAGGCUUAACACAUGCAAGUCGAGGGGCAGCAUCAUCAAAGCUUGCUUUGAUGGAUGGCGACCGGCGCACGGGUGAGUAACACGUAUCCAACCUGCCGACAACACUGGGAUAGCCUUUCGAAAGAAAGAUUAAUACCGGAUGGCAUAGUUUUCCCCGCAUGGGAUGACUAUUAAAGAAUUUCGGUUGUCGAUGGGGAUGCGUUCCAUUAGGCAGUUGGCGGGGUAACGGCCCACCAAACCGACGAUGGAUAGGGGUUCUGAGAGGAAGGUCCCCCACAUUGGAACUGAGACACGGUCCAAACUCCUACGGGAGGCAGCAGUGAGGAAUAUUGGUCAAUGGACGAGAGUCUGAACCAGCCAAGUAGCGUGAAGGAUGACUGCCCUAUGGGUUGUAAACUUCUUUUAUACGGGAAUAAAGUUAGCCACGUGUGGCUUUUUGUAUGUACCGUAUGAAUAAGGAUCGGCUAACUCCGUGCCAGCAGCCGCGGUAAUACGGAGGAUCCGAGCGUUAUCCGGAUUUAUUGGGUUUAAAGGGAGCGUAGGCGGGUUGUUAAGUCAGUUGUGAAAGUUUGCGGCUCAACCGUAAAAUUGCAGUUGAUACUGGCGACCUUGAGUGCAACAGAGGUAGGCGGAAUUCGUGGUGUAGCGGUGAAAUGCUUAGAUAUCACGAAGAACUCCGAUUGCGAAGGCAGCUUACUGGAUUGUAACUGACGCUGAUGCUCGAAAGUGUGGGUAUCAAACAGGAUUAGAUACCCUGGUAGUCCACACAGUAAACGAUGAAUACUCGCUGUUGGCGAUAUACAGUCAGCGGCCAAGCGAAAGCAUUAAGUAUUCCACCUGGGGAGUACGCCGGCAACGGUGAAACUCAAAGGAAUUGACGGGGGCCCGCACAAGCGGAGGAACAUGUGGUUUAAUUCGAUGAUACGCGAGGAACCUUACCCGGGCUUAAAUUGCAACUGACUGAACCGGAAACGGUUCUUUCUUCGGACAGUUGUGAAGGUGCUGCAUGGUUGUCGUCAGCUCGUGCCGUGAGGUGUCGGCUUAAGUGCCAUAACGAGCGCAACCCUUAUCGAUAGUUACUAGCAGGUCAUGCUGAGGACUCUAUUGAGACUGCCGUCGUAAGAUGUGAGGAAGGUGGGGAUGACGUCAAAUCAGCACGGCCCUUACGUCCGGGGCUACACACGUGUUACAAUGGGGGGUACAGAAGGCAGCUACACGGCGACGUGGUGCUAAUCCCGAAAGCCUCUCUCAGUUCGGAUUGGAGUCUGCAACCCGACUCCACGAAGCUGGAUUCGCUAGUAAUCGCGCAUCAGCCACGGCGCGGUGAAUACGUUCCCGGGCCUUGUACACACCGCCCGUCAAGCCAUGAAAGCCGGGGGUACCUGAAGUACGUAACCGCAAGGAGCGUCCUAGGGUAAAACUGGUGAUUGG
rnacentral:rRNA from 1 species